AGCUUACAAACUGCUCCGUUUCUGAACUUGCCUCUGCUCUCUCUCGCUGUCUCUCUCUCUGCUGUCUCUGUGGAGGUGGGGGCAGAGCGCUAUUAGCUGCGCGCUGCAGACAUCAUUAGGAGGGGAGACGCUUCCACCGUCAACGCCGGAGCAGAGCAGGGGAGCCCUGGCAACAAGGAGACACACAAACUCAGCAGCCCGCUAAACACCCCGCAUGAAUGGUGACUACACCUGCAGACAGACAGACGUGAACAGACGGUGCAGACAUCUGGGACGCUUCCCUCCUGUUGGUGCAGAGAUCCAGACUUCACAUCAGGAAGUGCAGCUCCAGUGAGUUGUCAGCUGAGCAGCAGGCUCCACCUACUCCACCCAAGUAGCUCUGCCUCCUCUGCUCAGCUUUAGCUCCUCAGGUGGAUCCCUUUUGGUCGUUCCAAAGUUGAGGCUUAAAUCUAAGGGUGACCGAGC
ensembl:lncRNA